AUUGAACGCUGGCGGCAUGCUUUACACAUGCAAGUCGAACGGUAACAGGCCGCAAGGUGCUGACGAGUGGCGAACGGGUGAGUAAUGCAUCGGAACGUGCCCAGUCGUGGGGGAUAACGCAGCGAAAGCUGUGCUAAUACCGCAUACGAUCUAUGGAUGAAAGCGGGGGACCGUAAGGCCUCGCGCGAUUGGAGCGGCCGGUGUCAGAUUAGCUAGUUGGUGGGGUAAAGGCCCACCAAGGCGACGAUCUGUAGCUGGUCUGAGAGGACGACCAGCCACACUGGGUCUGAGACACGGCCCAGACUCCUACGGGAGGCAGCAGUGGGGAAUUUUGGACAAUGGGCGCAAGCCUGAUCCAGCAAUGCCGCGUGCAGGAAGAAGGCCUUCGGGUUGUAAACUGCUUUUGUACGGAACGAAACGGUCUGGGUUAAUACCCUGGGCUAAUGACGGUACCGUAAGAAUAAGCACCGGCUAACUACGUGCCAGCCGCCGCGGUAA
rnacentral:rRNA from 1 species